AACAUGUUAAGCUUACUAUUUUUUGAAAAACAUACAAUAUUGUUGUUGAACAAUUUAUUACAAGGAAAAAAACAAAGAAAAAGGAAAAAAAAUUAAAGAGACCUAAGGCAGAUACAAAGAGCGAAUGGAAAGGUAAAGUCACACAAAGAAACUGAACCAUCUGGCGGUGGAGGAAGUGACAGGAGACGAUCCCUUAUUGAGCGAUCAACUCUGGAAAUUGUCGCAGCUUCGGAAGAUGGUGAUUGCCUGAAGAUGCGGUGCUUCCUCUCUCUCCAUAGAUUUGGAUCGAUUUUUAUUACACUAAAGAAAAAGGUGUAUCUCUAUCGAACCAAAUCGCAUGUAGAUAACAUAGAAACAUACCCACUAUUCCACUAAUCAUAUAUAUUUAUCAGAAAAAGCAAACCCAUUC
rnacentral:lncRNA from 1 species